GACGUAGGGCGCGAGCGUUGUCCGGAUUUAUUGGGCGUAAAGAGCUCGUAGGCGGCUUGUGCGUCAGCUGUGAAAACCCGCAGCUCAACUGUGGGCUUGCAGCUGAUACGGGCAGGCUUGAGUUCGGUAGGGGAGACUGGAAUUCCUGGUGUAGCGGUGAAAUGCGCAGAUAUCAGGAGGAACACCGGUGGCGAAGGCGGGUCUCUGGGCCGAUACUGACGCUGAGAAGCGAAAGCAUGGGGAGCGAACAGG
rnacentral:rRNA from 1 species